CUUAAUUUUCUUUUCUAGUGGGGAACAGGGACCUACUGCAAUCCGAGGGUCUUCAGUACUGUUAGCCCAGGCCAGU
rnacentral:lncRNA from 1 species